ACACCCGUUCCCAUCCCGAACACGGAAGUUAAGCCCUCCAGGGCCGAUGGUACUUGGGGGUCUACCCCCGGGAGAGUAGGUCGCUGCCGGAA
rnacentral:rRNA from 1 species